rnacentral:rRNA from 1 species
CACGUAGUUAGCCGGCGCUUUUUCUGCAGGUACCGUCACUUUCGCUUCUUCCCUGCUAAAAGAGGUUUACAACCCGAAGGCCGUCAUCCCUCACGCGGCGUUGCUGCAUCAGGCUUCCGCCCAUUGUGCAAUAUUCCCCA